UACGUAGGUGGCGAGCGUUGUCCGGAUUUACUGGGCGUAAAGAGCGCGCAGGCGGUCGUUCAAGUCGCGUGUGAAAGCCCCCGGCUCAACUGGGGAGGGUCACGCGAUACUGAUCGACUCGAAGGCAGGAGAGGGUAGUGGAAUUCCCGGUGUAGUGGUGAAAUGCGUAGAUAUCGGGAGGAACACCGGUGGCGAAGGCGCUCUGCUAGGCCGCAACUGACACUGAGGGACGAAAGCUAGGGGAGCGAAUGGG
rnacentral:rRNA from 1 species